CACUAUCGUUAACUGAAUACAUAGGUUAACGAGGCGAACCGGGGGAACUGAAACAUCUAAGUACCCCGAGGAAAAGAAAUCAACCGAGAUUCCCCCAGUAGCGGCGAGCGAACGGGGAGCAGCCCAGAGUCUGAAUCAGCUUGUGUGUUAGUGGAACGGUCUGGAAAGUCCGACGGUACAGGGUGAUAGUCCCGUACACCAAAAUGCACAGGUUGUGAACUCGAAGAGUAGGGCGGGACACGUGGUAUCCUGUCUGAAUAUGGGGGGACCAUCCUCCAAGGCUAAAUACUCCUGACUGACCGAUAGUGAACCAGUACCGUGAGGGAAAGGCGAAAAGAACCCCGGCGAGGGGAGUGAAAAAGAACCUGAAACCGUGUACGUACAAGCAGUGGGAGCACCUUCGGGUGUGACUGCGUACCUUUUGUAUAAUGGGUCAGCGACUUAUAUUCUGUAGCAAGGUUAACCGUAUAGGGGAGCCGCAGGGAAACCGAGUCUUAACUGGGCGUUAAGUUGCAGGGUAUAGACCCGAAACCCGGUGAUCUAGCCAUGGGCAGGUUGAAGGUUGGGUAACACUAACUGGAGGACCGAACCGACUAAUGUUGAAAAAUUAGCGGAUGACUUGUGGCUGGGGGUGAAAGGCCAAUCAAACCGGGAGAUAGCUGGUUCUCCCCGAAAGCUAUUUAGGUAGCGCCUCGUGAACUCAUCUUCGGGGGUAGAGCACUGUUUCGGCUAGGGGGUCAUCCCGACUUACCAACCCGAUGCAAACUACGAAUACCGAAGAAUGUUAUCACGGGAGACACACGGCGGGUGCUAACGUCCGUCGUGAAGAGGGAAACAACCCAGACCGCCAGCUAAGGUCCCAAAGUCACAGUUAAGUGGGAAACGAUGUGGGAAGGCACAGACAGCCAGGAUGUUGGCUUAGAAGCAGCCAUCAUUUAAAGAAAGCGUAAUAGCUCACUGGUCGAGUCGGCCUGCGCGGAAGAUGUAACGGGGCUAAACUGUGCACCGAAGCUGCGGCAGCGACACUAUGUGUUGUUGGGUAGGGGAGCGUUCUGUAAGCCUGCGAAGGUGGCCUGUGAGGGUUGCUGGAGGUAUCAGAAGUGCGAAUGCUGACAUAAGUAACGAUAAUGCGGGUGAAAAGCCCGCACGCCGGAAGACCAAGGGUUCCUGUCCAACGUUAAUCGGGGCAGGGUGAGUCGACCCCUAAGGCGAGGCCGAAAGGCGUAGUCGAUGGGAAACAGGUUAAUAUUCCUGUACUUGGUGUUACUGCGAAGGGGGGACGGAGAAGGCUAUGUUAGCCGGGCGACGGUUGUCCCGGUUUAAGCAUGUAGGCGGAGGUUCCAGGUAAAUCCGGUACCUUUUUAACGCUGAGGUGUGAUGACGAGGCACUACGGUGCUGAAGUAACAAAUGCCCUGCUUCCAGGAAAAGCCUCUAAGCAUCAGGUAACAUUAAAUCGUACCCCAAACCGACACAGGUGGUCAGGUAGAGAAUACCAAGGCGCUUGAGAGAACUCGGGUGAAGGAACUAGGCAAAAUGGUGCCGUAACUUCGGGAGAAGGCACGCUGAUAUGUAGGUGAAGCCCCUGCGGGUGGAGCUGAAAUCAGUCGAAGAUACCAGCUGGCUGCAACUGUUUAUUAAAAACACAGCACUGUGCAAACACGAAAGUGGACGUAUACGGUGUGACGCCUGCCCGGUGCCGGAAGGUUAAUUGAUGGGGUUAUCCGUAAGGAGAAGCUCUUGAUCGAAGCCCCGGUAAACGGCGGCCGUAACUAUAACGGUCCUAAGGUAGCGAAAUUCCUUGUCGGGUAAGUUCCGACCUGCACGAAUGGCGUAAUGAUGGCCAGGCUGUCUCCACCCGAGACUCAGUGAAAUUGAACUCGCUGUGAAGAUGCAGUGUACCCGCGGCAAGACGGAAAGACCCCGUGAACCUUUACUAUAGCUUGACACUGAACAUUGAGCCUUGAUGUGUAGGAUAGGUGGGAGGCUUUGAAGCGUGGACGCCAGUCUGCGUGGAGCCAACCUUGAAAUACCACCCUUUAAUGUUUGAUGUUCUAACGUUGGCCCCUAAUCGGGGUUGCGGACAGUGUCUGGUGGGUAGUUUGACUGGGGCGGUCUCCUCCCAAAGAGUAACGGAGGAGCACGAAGGUUAGCUAAUCCUGGUCGGACAUCAGGAGGUUAGUGCAAUGGCAUAAGCUAGCUUGACUGCGAGCGUGACGGCGCGAGCAGGUGCGAAAGCAGGUCAUAGUGAUCCGGUGGUUCUGAAUGGAAGGGCCAUCGCUCAACGGAUAAAAGGUACUCCGGGGAUAACAGGCUGAUACCGCCCAAGAGUUCAUAUCGACGGCGGUGUUUGGCACCUCGAUGUCGGCUCAUCACAUCCUGGGGCUGAAGUAGGUCCCAAGGGUAUGGCUGUUCGCCAUUUAAAGUGGUACGCGAGCUGGGUUUAGAACGUCGUGAGACAGUUCGGUCCCUAUCUGCCGUGGGCGCUGGAGAAUUGAGGGGGGCUGCUCCUAGUACGAGAGGACCGGAGUGGACGCAUCACUGGUGUUCGGGUUGUCAUGCCAAUGGCAUUGCCCGGUAGCUAAAUGCGGAAGAGAUAAGUGCUGAAAGCAUCUAAGCACGAAACUUGCCCCGAGAUGAGUUCUCCCUGAGACUUUAAGUCUCCUGAAGGAACGUUAAAGACGAUGACGUUGAUAGGUCGGGUGUGUAAGCGUAGCGAUACGUUGAGCUAACCGAUACUAAUGAACCGUGAGGCUUAACCUUACAACGCCGAAGGUGUUU
rnacentral:rRNA from 1 species